AUACGGAGGAUCCGAGCGUUAUCCUGAUUUAUUGGGUUUAAAGGGUGCGCAGGCGGGAGAUUAAGUCGGCGGUGAAAUUUUUCAGCUCAACUGUAAAAGUGCCUUCGAAACUGGUUUCCUUGAGUGUAGAUGAAGUAGGCGGAAUUUGUGGUGUAGCGGUGAAAUGCAUAGAUAUCACGAGGAACUCCGAUUGCGCAGGCAGCGUACUAAACUACUACUGACGCUCAUGCACGAAGGCGUGGGGAUCAAACAGGAUUAGAUACCCUGGUAGUCCACGCAGUAAACGAUGAUUACUAGCUGUUUGCGAUACAAUGUAAGCGGCUGAGCGAAAGCGUUAAGUAAUCCACCUGGGGAGUACGUUCGCAAGAAUGAAACUCAAAUGAAUUGACGGGG
rnacentral:rRNA from 1 species